GCUCCGGGACCGCUCGGGGCCGAGCUCGGGGCCGGGCUCCCGCCUUCUCACAGCAACUUCACGGCGGCCUCGGAGUUCCCCCUCGGGGCUCCAGCACUGGAGCUAGCGGAGCCCCGGCGGGAGCUGCGCCGCACAGCCCCGGAGCGGCGCAGAGAGGGCUGGCCACGGGCGCACUCCUCGGGGCUGCGGGGAGCAGGAAGCAAACGGAAGCAUUACUUGACUCUGUGACCAACAUGUAAUUUUCUGCACCAGAAGACAAGAAAGAAACAGCAGUUGUUAACAAAUAAGCCAUGCCUGUUGCAGCUGAUGUAACUGUGGGGGACCUGCCUGUGAGACAUGCAGGUCUAGCACCAGCUGGAAUUGAAGGAUUACAAGAGUCAAGAACUGCACAGAAUAUAAAAGCUCAACAAGCUAAGUAACAAAUCAGUCAAAAAGACCUGGAGGACAGAUUUCUUCGUGUACAUGAUGAUCACUUCUUACUCAAUCAGCAUAGAAAUGAACAAGAGGAGAGAACUGAAAGCAUUCCUCGCCAAAACCCUUUUAACUAGAAGUUUGGAAUGAAUUUGCAGUGGAAGAGCAUUGAAAAAACUCCACGUAAACAAAAAACCUGCUUACA